CAAAGAGCAGCUGGAAGAUGGUUGCCCUGACAUGGUGUUUUCCACCAGACUGCGGUACCAACCCACCAGUGCAGGAGCAGAUUGAGAUCAGCAUCACCACAGACCUGUGGUUCACCUUACUGUUGCACCCACGUAUCCACCCUCCCUCCAAAGGACGUGAGCGCAGAACGGCGGAGGAGGCGAACGAAUCACACAGAGCUACAACAGACUGAUCCAACAGCCCCAGAGGGAACCUGCUGAGGAAGCAGAGCCCGUGCUCAGCCCUCACCUCUUCCACACCUCUGCUCCAUCACAAGGCGCAGAGCACAUCCCCAGCCUGCAGGUCUCCGGGUGGGUCUGGUGUUCUGUUAGCACUGCUGCUGCCCAGGAACGUCUGUUUAAUCUGCUGGGUCUAAGAGGCUCAAGGAGAGCGUUUGGUGUUGGUGCUGUCACCUCUGCUGCUGCUGUAGACAGCAAAGGUUCUUCUCAGUUAAAAACACAACUCAUAAAACAAGACAGCUACCAGGGAGAGUCAACAGCCUGUGUGAAACACCUCUUCUCCCUUUUAACUUGGAAAAGGAAACUAAAGAGCAGAUGAAGUGAGAAGAUGGCCUUUACAAUUCCUACACUCGCGGGCCGGAGUGCAAACGGAGCGCAGCGCGGACUGAGCGAGGAGGAGUUCUGCAUCCAGCCUCGGGCUCCAGCAUCCCACGCGCAGGGCCAAGGCCUGCACAACCAGAC
ensembl:lncRNA